GUGCCAGCCGCCGCGGUAAAACGUAGGACGCGAGCGUUAUCCGGAGUUACUGGGCGUAAAGGGCGGGCAGGCGGUUCACAAAGUCUGGCGUGAAAUCUCCCAGGCUCAACCGGGAGGGUGCGUUGGAAACUGGUGAGCUAGAGGGCGGUAGAGGGUCGUGGAAUUCCGGGUGGAGUGGUGAAAUGCGUAGAGAUCCGGAGGAACACCAGAGGCGAAAGCGGCGACCUGGGCCGCACCUGACGCUGAACCGCGAAAGCCAGGGGAGCGAACGGGAUUAGAUACCCUGGUAGUCC
rnacentral:rRNA from 1 species